AUCAGCACGGUGAAGCGGGUGAAUUCUCAUUCCUGCCAUGCAAAAUUAGCUGGCAUUAGAAAGGAAAGAAGCUCAUCGCUUUGAGGCACUAAUCUCCGGACUUCUAGAGGCAUGAAGAGAGAGAGCAGCACAAGUAAAGCUGAACUGAGCCAUAUGUGGAACUAAGCCCCUACAGAUAUUAUCUUACUUAAUCCUCACAAUCUCCCUAAGAUGACGGGUGCCCCAGCCUGGAAGGCCCUCAGCUAGGUGCUGUGGGAGAUGCCAAGCCAAGUGUGAGUUGGCCUUGGGGACAAUUUGGACAUGAACAGAACAGAG
rnacentral:lncRNA from 1 species